rnacentral:rRNA from 1 species
UCGACCUGAGCUCAGGCAAGACUA